ACAGUACAAACUGAGCAGGCAAUGGAUUAAGAUCCGUGAGGCCGGGCCGUUUAGGCGGCAGCAGAGCGCUAUUUUAUAUCGCAUCUGUGGGACAGU
rnacentral:ncRNA from 1 species